GAUGCAGCCCGGGUAGCCGCGGGGAGAGGGUUGCUCUCCCUGAGGAAAGUCCGGACACCACAGAGCAGGGUGCUGGAUAACGUCCAGCGGGGGAAACCCUAGGGAUAGCGCCACAGAAAACACACGGCACGCCGGCUUGGCGGCAUGCGCUGUCGGACCGGCUGCAAAGGUGAAAAGGUGCGGUAAGAGCGCACCGGCGUCGUGGUGACACGGCGGCCUGGCAAGCCCCACCCGGUGCAAGGCCGAAUAGGGAGGCGCUUGAGGGUUGCUCGCCCGAUGCCUCCGGGUUGGCCGCAUGAGCCGUCCGGCAACGGGCGGCCUUAGAUAGAUGGCUACCCUCGACAGAAUCCGGCUUAUAGGGCUGCUACCGCG
rnacentral:RNase_P_RNA from 1 species